GCGGCUGCCGUACUCUAGCUCCAACUGUUACAUGUGAUUAGUUUCAGUGGAAAAUCUAAUCAAAUUUAGCCUUCUGCUGUAGUUGCAGAUGUAAAUUAACUUUCUAUUCUUUUUUGAAAAUGGUUGUGUGGUUGGAAUGGCUAAUGACGGGUUGAGACACUGGAGGCUGUGGAGAACGAGAUUUAUUGCUGCAGAGAAUACUUCCCCCAAAAUCUGGGAAAAUCACAUUUCUCCAAGUGUUGUAGUAUAAACAGCAGCGGACCAUUGAUGAUUUUCUGGUAGAGAGCAGAAUUCAUGUGUCCCUCAAUUACUGCAAGUCGCCCUGGCCCUGAAUCAGCAAAGCAUUCCCACACAUCACACUUCCACCACCAUGCUUGACCUUCCACUUUCGACUCAUCUGUCCACAGAACAUUCUCCCAAAAUGUCAGCAAGGAUCAUCAAGUGGAGUAAUGAACAGUGACCUUCAUUGAUGCAAGAGAGUUCUGCAGUUCCUUGGAUGUUGUCCUUGGCUUUUUUGUGACUCCCUGGAUGAGUUGUCGCUGUGCUCCUGGAGAAAUGUUGGAAGGUUGACAACUUCCGGGAAGGUUCCCUACUGUGCCAAGUUUUCUUCAUUUGGAGGUGGCAACAAGUCAGCCUCAUGAGGGAUCAACAUACUCCGGCAGAAAGGACUGCCAGAUGGUCCUUAACCAUGCAGAAUACACCAGUGUUAAACUGGGAGAGCUGGGACAGACCUGUGAGAUAAUGCUCGAUCCACAGAUGUAAAUCAUGUAUUGAAUAGACCAUUGCUUUGUAAUAUUUGGUAGUAGACCUGAUAGGAAAUGUCAAACAGUCUCCAAACCACACACUGUUUCCAUAAUGUAAGGAAAAGUUGAACAACCAAUCCAGUGAUUUACUGAAAUAUAUGCAUCUUUUGUUGUAAAAUUGC